UUUUCCAUUAAAUUCAUUUUCCUUUUUCCCUUUACAAUAUUGCUGUUUUGUUUUUGUAAACAGCAUCAAAUGAGAGGGACAGAUGAAACAGUUUCAAGACAAUGGCAGGAAAAACAUGCUGAAGAUUGAAACAAACCUUGGCUGGAAAUAUUUGAAGGUAUCUAGCCAGUCCACAAUGAAAGCUUCGUUGCACCCCAUGAGUCUUCUGGCAGAAAUGAUGGCGCCUGUAUUCUUUGGUUUCCCUAAACAUCACACCCUGCCUGUUUAUACGAGGCCCUUCAAUUAAGUCUGCACCCAAAGAUUCAAUAAGAGAGGGGAUCCUGCCAGUCCAAAGUGAACUCCUGAUGGACAUUGAAGUACUCCUGCAGAGCUUGUAUCUUCGACACCAUGCGCAUUAGAAACUCCACUGAGUCCUUUCCUUCACCAAGGCAGGACCCAGUGACUCAUUACUGUUGAUAGGUCA